rnacentral:rRNA from 1 species
GACGAACGCUGGCGGCGUGCUUAACACAUGCAAGUCGAGCGGAAAGGCCCUGCUUUUGUGGGGUGCUCGAGUGGCGAACGGGUGAGUAACACGUGAGUAACCUGCCCUUGACUUUGGGAUAACUUCAGGAAACUGGGGCUAAUACCGGAUAGGAGCUCCUGCUGCAUGGUGGGGGUUGGAAAGUUUCGGCGGUUGGGGAUGGACUCGCGGCUUAUCAGCUUGUUGGUGGGGUAGUGGCUUACCAAGGCUUUGACGGGUAGCCGGCCUGAGAGGGUGACCGGCCACAUUGGGACUGAGAUACGGCCCAGGCUCCUACGGGAGGCAGCAGUGGGGAAUAUUGCACUAUGGGCGGAAGCCUGAUGCAGCAACGCCGCGUGCGGGAUGACGGCCUUCGGGUUGUAAACCGCUUUCGCCUGUGACGAAGCGUGAGUGACGGUAAUGGGUAAAGAAGCACCGGCUAACUACGUG